AUUCAUAUAGUUUACAAAAACAUUUCAUUUUCAAUGAAAAGAGGAAAAUUAAAUU
rnacentral:tRNA from 1 species